GAUGAAGAACGUAGCGAAAUGCGAUACUUGGUGUGAAUUGCAGAAUCCCGUGAACCAUCGAGUCUUUGAACGCAAGUUGCGCCCGAAGCCACUAGGCCGAGGGCACGCCUGCCUGGGCGUCACACGCCGUUGCCCCCCCAUCUACUCCUUCGGGAUUGCGGGGGGGCGGAUGAUGGCCUCCCGUGCGCCUAGCCGCGCGGUUGGUAUAAAUACCAAGUCCUCGGCGACGCACGCCACGACAAUCGGUGGUUGCGAAACCUCGGUUGCCCGUCGUGUGCGUUCGUCGCGCAUCGAGGGCUCGAAAAAAUGCUCGGCUCCGGCUGGGCUUUCAACGCGACCCCAGGUCAGGCGGGGUUACCCGCUGAAUUUAAGCAUAUCAAUAAGCGGAGGA
rnacentral:misc_RNA from 1 species